AGGUUGCUGAGAUAUUCGCCUUUGAUACUCACUCCUACGCCUUCCUAGUGUAAGAUCUUGUAUAAUUCGUCUAAGCAUGCAGUGAAUAGCAUUGGAGAGAAUGGGUCUCCUUGCCUAACCCCUUUCUUGAUGCGUAACUUUCUACUUGCGCAAACCCAAGGUAGCUGUGGAAUAU
rnacentral:lncRNA from 1 species